UUGGAGGGCAAGUCUGGUGCCAGCAGCCGCGGUAAUUCCAGCUCCAAUAGCGUAUAUUAAAGUUGUUGCAGUUAAAAAGCUCGUAGUUGAAUUUCGGGAUUAGUACGUUGGUCGUGCCUUCGGUACGUACUGGUGUUACUGAUUCCUACCUUCUGACGAACCAUCAUGUCAUUAAUUUGGUGUGGCGGGGAAUCAGGACUGUUACUUUGAAAAAAUUAGAGUGUUUAAAGCAGGCUCGCGCUUGAAUACAUUAGCAUGGAAUAAUGAAAUAGGACGUUGAUCCUAUUUUGUUGGUUUCUAGGAUUGACGUAAUGAUUAAUAGGGAUAGUUGGGGGCAUUAGUAUUCAAUUGUCAGAGGUGAAAUUCUUGGAUUUAUUGAAGACUAACUACUGCGAAAGCAUUUGCCAAGGAUGUUUUCAUUAAUCAAGAACGAAAGUUAGGGGAUCGAAGACGAUCAGAUACCGUCGUAGUCUUAACCAUAAACUAUGCCGACUAGGGAUCGGAUGAUGUUAUUUUUAAUACUCAUUCGGCGCCUUACGGGAAAC
rnacentral:rRNA from 1 species